rnacentral:rRNA from 1 species
CAGUAGCCGCGGGAAUACGUAGGUGGCAAGCGUUGUCCGGAAUUAUUGGGCGUAAAGGGCUCGCAGGCGGUUUCUUAAGUCUGAUGUGAAAGCCCCCGGCUCAACCGGGGAGGGUCAUUGGAAACUGGGAAACUUGAGUGCAGAAGAGGAGAGUGGAAUUCCACGUGUAGCGGUGAAAUGCGUAGAGAUGUGGAGGAACACCAGUGGCGAAGGCGACUCUCUGGUCUGUAACUGACGCUGAGGAGCGAAAGCGUGGGGAGCGAACAGGAUUAGAGACCCCCGUAGUCCCUGUCUCUUAUAA